UGUCGGAGUUUUGCGAGGAUCUGUCCCUAGUACGAGAGGACCGGGAUGGACAUACCUCUGGUGCACCGGUUGUCACGCCAGUGGCAUGGCCGGGUAGCUAAGUAUGGACGGGAUAACCGCUGAAAGCAUCUAAGCGGGAAACCCACCUCUAAACCAGAACUCCCUUGAGAGCCGUGACAGACCAUCACGUCGAUAGGAGGCAUGUGGACGGGCGGCAACGCCUGAAGCUGAGCCUUACUAAUCGCUCGA
rnacentral:ncRNA from 1 species